AGAGCGAACGCUGGCGGCAGGCUUAACACAUGCAAGUCGAGCGGGCGUAGCAAUGCGUCAGCGGCAGACGGGUGAGUAACGCGUGGGAACGUACCUUUUGGUUCGGAACAACCCAGGGAAACUUGGGCUAAUACCGGAUAAGCCCUUACGGGGAAAGAUUUAUCGCCGAAAGAUCGGCCCGCGUCUGAUUAGCUAGUUGGUGAGGUAAUGGCUCACCAAGGCGACGAUCAGUAGCUGGUCUGAGAGGAUGAUCAGCCACAUUGGGACUGAGACACGGCCCAAACUCCUACGGGAGGCAGCAGUGGGAAUAUUGGACAAUGGGCGCAAGCCUGAUCCAGCCAUGCCGCGUGAGUGAUGAAGGCCCUAGGGUGUAAAGCUCUUUCGCUAGGACGAUAAUGACGGUACUAGACAAGAAGCCCGGCUAACUUCGUGCCAGCAGCCGC
rnacentral:rRNA from 1 species